GGAUGUGAGGGUGAUCUGGCUGUGACAUUUGUCAACUCAUUGGUCGUCAGAGUUGAUUUGGAUGAUCUGGCUGGCUAGGUGGGUGUCCCCUUCCUCCUUCACCUCUCUGUGUGCAUCUCUCCCGAAGAUGCACACACUCCAUCAAAGAGGACGACCUUCUCCAAUAGAGGACUGGUCUUGGGUCACAGAUAUACAAGUAGCUGUGCUCCCCUGCUAGAACCUCCAAAUAAGCUUUCAAAAUCCAGCAGGGGAGCCAAGUUGGGCCUGCCCUCCUAGGAGGCAGCAUUCUA
rnacentral:snRNA from 1 species